rnacentral:tRNA from 1 species
GAGGGUAUAGCUCAUUGGUAAGGUAUGUGCUUAGCAUGCACAAGGUCCUGGGUUCAAUCUCUAGUAACUUCC